rfam:Ovis aries breed Texel chromosome 3, whole genome shotgun sequence.
UCCCUGGUGGCUCAGACGGUAAAGCAUCUGCCUGCAAUGCAGGAGACCCGGGUAAGAUUCCUGGGUCGGGAA